rnacentral:tRNA from 1 species
GCUAACGUAGCUUAAUCAAAGCACAAUACUGAAGAUAUUAAGAUGGGCCCUAGAAAGCUCCGUAAGCA